GGACUGCAGUCGGGCGGCACCCCUGGAGAGGCAUGUGCCAAGGACGGCGACGGGGCGCACCAGCGCCCCGUGGGGCGGGUUCGAUUCCCGCCCUCUCCG
rnacentral:tRNA from 1 species